rnacentral:rRNA from 1 species
AAUGAACGUUGGCGGCGUGCCUAACACAUGCAAGUCGAGCGAGAAAGUCCUUCGGGAUGAGUACAGCGGCGGACGGUUGGGUAACACGUGAGUUAUCUGCCCUUCAAUGAAGAAUACCCUCGAGAAAUCGAGGUUAAUGCUGCAUACGUCCCUUCGGGGAGAAAGAUGGCUUCAUGCUGUCGUUGAAGGAUGAGCUUGCGGACUAUCAGCUAGUUGGUGGGGUAAAGGCCCACCAAGGCUACGAUCCAUAGCUGGUCUGAGAGGAUGAUUAGGCACACUGGGACUGAGACACGGCCCAGACUCCUACGGGAGGCAGCAGUGGGGAAUUUUGGACAAUGGGGGCAACCCUGAUCCAGCAAUGCCGCGUGAGUGAAGAAGGCCUUCGGGUUGUAAAGCUCUUUUGUCAGGGAAGAAACGGGGCCGGCUAAUAUCCGGCCCUAAUGACGGUACCUGAAGAAUAAGCACCGGCUAACUACGUGCCAGCCGCCGCCGUAACAC